rnacentral:rRNA from 1 species
GAUGAACGCUGGCGGCGUGCCUAAUACAUGCAAGUCGAGCGAACAGACGAGGAGCUUGCUCCUCUGACGUUAGCGGCGGACGGGUGAGUAACACGUGGAUAACCUACCUAUAAGACUGGGAUAACUUCGGGAAACCGUAGCUAAUACCGGAUAAUAUAUUGAACCGCAUGGUUCAAUAGUGAAAGACGGUUUUGCUGUCACUUAUAGAUGGAUCCGCGCCGCAUUAGCUAGUUGGUAAGGUAACGGCUUACCAAGGCAACGAUGCGUAGCCGACCUGAGAGGGUGAUCGGCCACACUGGAACUGAGACACGGGCCAGACUCCUACGGGAGGCAGCAGUAGGGAAUCUUCCGCAAUGGGAGAAAGCUUGACGGAGCAACGCCGCGUGAGUGAUGAAGGUCUUCGGAUCGUAAAACUCUGUUAUUAGGGAAGAACAAAUGUGUAAGUAACUAUGCACGUCUUGACGGUACCUAAUCAGAAAGCCCCGGCUAACUACGUG